GGAAAAAUCUUGCUUGAAAUUUUGCUACAAAUGGGAAUUGCUUUUGCUUUGGGAAGAUGAGGGACAAAGGUAAAUAUUGGGUUUCAAUCUGACAGGGCUAGACUCUCUAAGAUCAAUAACUGUGUACACAUUGCUGAGGACAGGCAGCUUUAAUUCAGUCUAGAUUUAUCUGCUUGGCUAGGUAUGGGAAAAGUCUGGAUUAUGCCCUAAUCAAAACAUGGAAGUAAAAUAUGAUACAUUUCCCAAGGAUACAAAAUUCGCUGCACUGGAUUUUGCUAUUGAACAAGGUAGACAUUUCGAUGUGGAUCUAUGCUGACAAGUGUUUUCUUUCCUGGUGUCGACAGCAGCAAAGGGACAUUUGAGGCAGAGACAGCCCGGGACUACACAAUAAAUCUUCCUGAGAGUGAGCAUAUACCCCAACUGCGUGAACCAAGUACCUGGGUCUUGCCCUCCCAGCAGCAGAAGAGUCUGUUGCUCUUCCUAAAGGGUCAGCCCCAGGUCCUAGGGGUGGCUGAGAUCCUGAUUGGGCUGGUAAUGCUGUGCCUGGGCGUGACAACCAGUCCUUUUCCACGUGACUAUGAAGGUGGACACUCCAUGACCACUAAAACGGGCUAUCACCUGUGGGGAUCCCUCUCUUUCUUCAUAUCUGGAGUGGUGUCCAUCGCCGCUGGAAGAAAGGUAACUAAGUGUCUGGUAAGUGUGUCGUUCUGGAGGCUCAGAUAG
rnacentral:lncRNA from 1 species